rnacentral:rRNA from 1 species
GAUGAACGCUGGCGGCGUGCCUAACACAUGCAAGUCGAGCGAACAGACGAUGAGAUUGCUCCUCUGACGGUAGCGGCGGACGGGUGAGUAACACGUGGAUAACAUUCCUAUUAGACUGGGAUAACAACGGGAAACCGCUGCUGAUACUGCAUCAUAUAUUCAACCGCAGGAAUCAAUAGUUAUAGACGGCUUUCCUGUCACAUUGAGAUGGUUCCGCGCCGGAUUAGCUAGUUGGUAAGGUAACGGCUUACCAAGGCGACGAUGCGUAGCUGACCUGAGAGGAUGAUCGGCCACACUGGAACUGAGACACGGUCCAGACUCCUACGGGAGGCAGCAGUAGGGAAUCUUGCGCAAUGGGCGAAAGCCUGACGGAGCAACGCCGCGUGAGUGAUGAAGGUCUUCGGGUCGUAAAACUCUUUUAUUGGGGAAGAACAAAUGUGUAAGUAACUAUGCACGUCUUGACGGUACCUAAACAGAAAGCAACGGCUAACUACGUG